rnacentral:rRNA from 1 species
ACUCAAAGGAAUAGACGGGGACCCGCACAAGCAGCGGAGCAUGUCGUUUAAUUCGAAGCAACGCGAAAAACCUUACCAAGGCUUGACAUCGGAUGCAUACCGUGGAAACACGGGAAGUAGUAGUAAUACACAUCUAGACAGAUGGUGCAUGGUUGUCGUCAGCUCGUGUCGUGAGAUGUUGGGUUAAGUCCCGCAACGAGCGCAACCCUUACUGGAAGUUACUAACAUUUAGUUGAGAACUCUUUCAGGACUGCCGUGGAUAACACGGAGGAAGGUGGGGAUGACGUCAAAUCAUCAUGCCUCUUACGCCUUGGGCUACAGACGUGCUACAAUGGCUCUUACAAAGCGUCGCCAACCCGCAAGGGGGAGCUAAUCGCAAAAAAGGAGCCUCAGUUCAGAUUGUGGGCUGCAACCCGCCCACAUGAAGUUGGAGUUGCUAGUAAUCCCGAAUCAGCAUGUCGGGGUGAAUGCGUUCCCGGGUCUUGUACACACCGCCCGU